rnacentral:rRNA from 2 species
UGACCUCGGAUCAGGUAGGGAUACCCGCUGAACUUAAGCAUAUCAAUAAGCGGAGGAAAAGAAACCAACAGGGAUUGCCUCAGUAAUCGGCGAGUGAAGCGGCAACAGCUCAAAUUUGAAAUCUGGUUCUUUCAGGGUCCGAGUUGUAAUUUGUAGAAGACGCUUUGGGUGUGGCUCCGGUCUAAGUUCCUUGGAACAGGACGUCAUAGAGGGUGAGAAUCCCGUAUGUGACUGGCAGCCUUCGCCCGUGUAAAACUCYUUCGACGAGCGAGUUGUUUGGGAAUGCAGCUCAAAAUGGGUGGUAAAUUUCAUCUAAAGCUCAAUAUUGGCCAGAGACCGAUAGCGCACAAGUAGAGUGAUCGAAAGACGAAAAGCACUUUGGAAAGAGAGUUAAACAGUACRUGCAAUUGUUGAAAGGGAAGAGGCAGCAACCAGACUUGCUGCGCAGUUAAUCMUUAUGGUGUUGUUCACAUGKGGCACUUUUCCUGCGUUACAGCACCAGCAUCGGUUCUGGUGUGCGGGAUAAAGGCCUGGGAAUGUAGCAUCC